rnacentral:rRNA from 1 species
CCUGGUUGAUCCUGCCAGUAGUCAUAUGCUUGUCUCAAAGAUUAAGCCAUGCAUGUCUAAGUACAUGCCGAAAUAAGGCGAAACCGCGAAUGGCUCAUUAAAUCAGUUAUGGUUCCUUAGAUCGUUUCUUCCUACUUGGAUAACUGUGGCAAUUCUAGAGCUAAUACAUGCAGUGAGCCCGAAGCCCCUCGGGGCGACGGGUGCUUUUAUUAGACCAAGAUCAAUCGGGCCUCGGUCCGUUUUGUGUGGUGACUCUGGAUAACUUUGUGCUGAUCGCAUGGCCACGAGCCGGCGACGUUUCUUUCAAGUGUCUGCCUUAUCAACUUUCGAUGGUAGGUUACUUGCUUACCAUGGUUGUUACGGGUAACGGAGAAUCAGGGUUCGAUUCCGGAGAGGGAGCCUGAGAAACGGCUACCACAUCCAAGGAAGGCAGCAGGCGCGCAAAUUACCCACUCCCGGCACGGGGAGGUAGUGACGAAAAAUAACAAUACGGGACUCUUUUGAGGCCCCGUAAUUGAAAUGAGUACACUCUAAAUCCUUUAACGAGGAUCAAUUGGAGGGCAAGUCUGGUGCCAGCAGCCGCGGUAAUUCCAGCUCCAAUAGCGUAUACUAAAGCUGCUGCGGUUAAAAAGCUCGUAGUUGGAUCUCAGUUCCAGACGAGUAGUGCAUCUACCCGAUGCGACGGCUCGGACUGAACAUCAUGCCGGUCGUUUCUUGGUGCACUUCAUUGUGUGCCUCGAGAUGGCCGGUGCUUUUACUUUGAAAAAAUUAGAGUGCUCAACGCAGGCGAUUCGCCUGAAUAACAGUGCAUGGAAUAAUAGAACAAGAUCCUGUUUCUGUUCUGUUGGUUUUUGGAAUACAGGAUAAUGAUUAAGAGGGACAGACGGGGGCAUUCGUAUUGCGGCGCUAGAGGUGAAAUUCUUGGACCGUCGCAAGACGAACUACUGCGAAAGCAUUUGCCAAGAAUGUUUUCUUUGAUCAAGAACGAAAGUUAGAGGUUCGAAGGCGAUCAGAUACCGCCCUAGUUCUAACCAUAAACGAUGCCAACCAGCGAUCCGCCUGAGUUACUCAAAUGACUCGGCGGGCAGCUUCCGGGAAACCAAAGUAUUUGGGUUCCGGGGGAAGUAUGGUUGCAAAGCUGAAACUUAAAGGAAUUGACGGAAGGGCACCACCAGGAGUGGAGCCUGCGGCUUAAUUUGACUCAACACGGGGAAACUUACCAGGUCCAGACAUAGUA